rnacentral:lncRNA from 1 species
GUCUCCCGAGGAAUUCUACACCGUCGUACUUGUACCACAUCAUUAAUAACAAAUCAAUCACAUUCUUUCUUUUUAAAUAAAAGUAUAAUAAAAAUAUUUUUUUAUAAUCAUUAUGGGACAUAUAUUCUUAAAAAGAUUAAUUUGAUUGGUUUGUUAUGCCACGUCGCUAAUAUACCCAUUGCAUUCUAAAAUUUGAUGAUUGAUACAUAAAAUUUUAAAUUUAUAUUUUUAAUUAAAUUUAUUUAUAAAUAAAAUAAAAGAAGCGUUUAGUAAUUUAUGGUUCUAAUUUUUAUUUUUAUCAGCUCCUCCAUUAAAAUUUCGUUAAGUUAGAUACAAAAAAUUUGAGAUAUUUCAUCUAAGUUUAUGGAAUAUUCACUUAAGUACCUUUUAGUUUGAAUUUUGUCACUGAUUUAACGAAAAAAAUUAAUAGAAGAGAUAAUAAAAAAAAACCGCAGGUACUAAAUUAAUAUAUUUUAAACCACAGGAUACUAAAAUUAAAAAUUACGAAACUACAGAGGUAGUAUUUGAAGUUUUCUCUUUUAAGAGUUACUAGCCAUCCCUACCGCAAGUGGCAAACAAAUUUAAUAAUUGACAUUCGAAAUUUUAGGUUCGAAGUUUAAUUGUUUUAUAUUUUCAACCAAGUUUAUUUCUAAAACAAAAUAAACAAAAAACAGAUAACAUACAAUCUUUCUCUCAAUUUUUUUUUUAAAGUUUUAUUAUUUUAUGUGACUCAAAAAUAAUUGAUUUGAUAUAUAUUUUACAUAAAGUAUCAGUAUUUAUUAUGAUAAAAAAAAUUAAAAAUUCCUGAGUAGGCGCGUGUAUGAUUUGAGGAGCCUGUUUGGGUUGAUUUGCUAUUUUCAUUCAUUAGAUCAUAUUAUUCAAUUAAUCAUCCACUCAAUUUUAAAACACUACUAUCAUCGAAAGCCUACAAACACCAAUUAGGUAAUAUUUUUAAAAACAUAAAAGUUCAAUUCUUUAUGUGGAUAGUCUCUCCACGUAAUUUUU